rnacentral:rRNA from 1 species
GAAUAUUGCGCAAUGGAGGAAACUCUGACGCAGCGACGCCGCGUGAGCGAUGAAGGUCUUCGGAUCGUAAAGCUCUGUCCUUGGGGAAGAAGGUCUUCGGACUUGACGGUACCCAUGGAGGAAACCCCGGCUAACUACGUGCCAGCAGCCGCGGUAAUACGUAGGUGGCAAGCGUUGUCCGGAAUUAUUGGGCGUAAAGCGCGCGCAGGCGGUUCUUUAAGUCUGAUGUGAAAGCCCACGGCUCAACCGUGGAGGGUCAUUGGAAACUGGAGAACUUGAGUACAGAAGAGGAAAGCGGAAUUCCACGUGUAGCGGUGAAAUGCGUAGAGAUGUGGAGGAACACCAGUGGCGAAGGCGGCUUUCUGGUCUGUAACUGACGCUGGGGCGCGAAAGCGUGGGGAGCAAAC